GUUGUAUGGUUAAGUGACAAAGCGUAUACGGUGGAUGCCUUGGCAGUUAGAGGCGAUGAAGGACGUGUAAGUCUGCGAAAAGCUGUGGUGAGCUGACAAAAAGCAUUUGAGCCACAGAUGUCCGAAUGGGGAAACCCACACAUUUAUGUGUAUCAUUAACUGAAUACAUAGGUUAAUGAGGCGAACGUAGGGAACUGAAACAUCUAAGUACCUAUAGGAAAAGAAAUCAACCGAGAUUCCCUUAGUAGCGGCGAGCGAACGGGGAGUAGCCCUUAAGUUAUAUUGGUGUUAGUGGAAGGCUCUGGAAAGUGCCACGAUACUGGGUGAUAGUCCCGUACAUGACAAUGCCAUUAUAGUGAAAACGAGUAGGUCGGGACACGUGUUAUCCUGACUGAAUAUGGGGGGACCAUCCUCCAAGGCUAAAUACUCCUAACUGACCGAUAGUGAACCAGUACCGUGAGGGAAAGGCGAAAAGAACCCCUGUGAGGGGAGUGAAAUAGAACCUGAAACCGUAUACGUACAAGCAGUGGGAGCCCCAUCACUAAGUGCCUUUAGUGAGAGGCUUCACCAAGAGCUUGUUGUUUGACAGCGAGUAACAUUGGCCUGCGCAAGCAGCCAAUGGUCAACCGCGCCAAUCAAGCAGCAGGGUACUUAGUGAUGGGGUGACUGCGUACCUUUUGUAUAAUGGGUCAGCGACUUAUAUUUAGUAGCAAGGUUAAGUGAAUAACGGAGCCGUAGCGAAAGCGAGUGUUAACUGCGCGUUGAGUUGCUAGGUAUAGACCCGAAACCCGGUGAUCUAGCCAUGGGCAGGUUGAAGGUUGAGUAACAUCAACUGGAGGACCGAACCCACUAACGUUGAAAAGUUAGGGGAUGACUUGUGGCUGGGGGUGAAAGGCCAAUCAAACCGGGAGAUAGCUGGUUCUCCCCGAAAUCUAUUUAGGUAGAGCCUCGGACGAACACCAUUGGGGGUAGAGCACUGUUAAGGCUAGGGGGUCAUCCCGACUUACCAACCCUUUGCAAACUCCGAAUACCGAUGAGUGCUAUCCGGGAGACACACGGCGGGUGCUAACGUCCGUCGUGAAGAGGGAAACAACCCAGACCGCCAGCUAAGGUCCCAAAAUAUUGCUAAGUGGGAAACGAUGUGGGAAGGCUAAGACAGCUAGGAGGUUGGCUUAGAAGCAGCCACCCUUUAAAGAAAGCGUAAUAGCUCACUAGUCGAGUCGGCCUGCGCGGAAGAUGUAACGGGGCUAAGCAAUAUACCGAAGCUGCGGAUUUGAACUUAGGUUCAAGUGGUAGGGGAGCGUUGUGUAAGUGGUUGAAGCUCAAUUGAGAAGUUGGGUGGACAUAUCACAAGUGCGAAUGCUGACAUGAGUAACGAUAAUGGGGGUGAAAAACCCCCACGCCGGAAGACCAAGGUUUCCUGUCCCAUGCUAAUCAGGGCAGGGUAAGUCGGCCCCUAAGGCGAGGCAGAAAUGCGUAGUCGAUGGGAAACGGAUUAAUAUUUCCGUACUUGUAUAAUCAGUGAUGGGAGGACGGAGAAGGCUAGGCAAGCCUGGCGUUGGUAGUCCAGGUGAAAGUGCGUAGGCUGAGUGUUUAGGUAAAUCCGGACACUUAAGGUCGAGACACGAGACGAGCCACUACGGUGGUGAAGUUGUUGAUGCCCUGCUUCCAGGAAAAGUCUCUAAGCUUAUGAUUAUGCGAACCGUACCCCAAACCGACACAGGUGGUCAGGUAGAGAAUACUAAGGCGCUUGAGAGAACUCGGGUGAAGGAACUCGGCAAAAUUGUACCGUAACUUCGGGAGAAGGUACGCCUCUGUGUGUGACAGGACUUGCUCCUUAAGCGCAUGGAGGCCGCAGUGACCAGGUGGCUGGGACUGUUUAUUAAAAACACAGCACUGUGCAAAAUCGAAAGAUGACGUAUACGGUGUGACACCUGCCCGGUGCCGGAAGGUUAAUUGAUGGGGUUAUCUUCGGAGAAGCUCUUGAUCGAAGCCCCGGUAAACGGCGGCCGUAACUAUAACGGUCCUAAGGUAGCGAAAUUCCUUGUCGGGUAAGUUCCGACCUGCACGAAUGGUGUAACCAUGGCCACGCUGUCUCCACCCGAGACUCAGUGAAAUUGAAAUCGCAGUGAAGAUGCUGUGUACCCGCACCUAGACGGAAAGACCCCGUGAACCUUUACUAUAGCUUGGCACUGAACAUUGAACCUACAUGUGUAGGAUAGGUGGGAGGCUUUGAAGCAUUGUCGCCAGAUGAUGUGGAGCCAUCCUUGAAAUACCACCCUUGUAUGUUUGAUGUUCUAACAUAGGUCCCUAAUCGGGAUUAUGGACAGUGUCUGGUGGGUAGUUUGACUGGGGCGGUCUCCUCCCAAAUCGUAACGGAGGAGCACGAAGGUUAGCUAAUCACGGUCGGACAUCGUGAGGUUAGUGCAAUGGCAUAAGCUAGCUUAACUGCGAGACAGACACGUCGAGCAGGUACGAAAGUAGGUCAUAGUGAUCCGGUGGUUCUGUAUGGAAGGGCCAUCGCUCAACGGAUAAAAGGUACUCCGGGGAUAACAGGCUGAUACCGCCCAAGAGUUCAUAUCGACGGCGGUGUUUGGCACCUCGAUGUCGGCUCAUCACAUCCUGGGGCUGAAGUCGGUCCCAAGGGUAUGGCUGUUCGCCAUUUAAAGUGGUACGCGAGCUGGGUUUAGAACGUCGUGAGACAGUUCGGUCCCUAUCUGGUGUGGGCGUUGGAUGAUUGAGGGGAGCUGCUCCUAGUACGAGAGGACCGGAGUGGACGAACCGCUGGUGUUCGGGUUGUCAUGCCAAUGGCAUUGCCCGGUAGCUACGUUCGGAAUCGAUAACCGCUGAAAGCAUCUAAGCGGGAAGCGAGCCCCAAGAUGAGUCAUCCCUGACCUUUAAGGUCUGGAAGGGUUGUUAUAGACUAUGACGUUGAUAGGCAGGAUGUGGAAGUGUUGUAAGGCAUUAAGCUAACCUGUACUAAUUGCCCGAGAGGCUUAACCAUACAACGCCUAA
rnacentral:rRNA from 1 species